ACGGAAGGCAGCAGUGGGGAAUAUUGCACAAUGGGGGAAACCCUGAUGCAGCAACGCCGCGUGAGUGAUGAAGUAUUUCGGUAUGUAAAACUCUAUCAGCAGGGAAGAAGAUGACGGUACCUGACUAAGAAGCACCGGCUAAAUACGUGCCAGCAGCCGCGGUAAUACGUAUGGUGCAAGCGUUAUCCGGAUUUACUGGGUGUAAAGGGAGCGCAGGCGGUCCUGCAAGCCAGAGGUGAAAGCCCGGGGCUCAACCCCGUGAUUGCCUUUGGAACUGUAGGACUUGAGUACUGGAGGGGCAAGUGGAAUUCCUAGUGUAGCGGUGAAAUGCGUAGAUAUUAGGAGGAACACCAGUGGCGAAGGCGGCUUACUGGACGACAACUGACGCUGAGGCUCGAAAGCGUGGGGAGCAAACAGGAUUAGAUACCCUGGUA
rnacentral:rRNA from 1 species